rfam:Clostridium sp. CAG:58 genomic scaffold, scf261
AUUAUUUGAGGUGGUAGAUUUCGUAGCGACCACACGCCGAAGGUAUUGACAAGGGGAAACCCUGAGAGAUGCAGGAGAGUGCUACGCCUGCCAAAUAAU